GCUCCAGUGGCGCAAUCAGUUAGCGCGCGGUACUUAUACAGCAGUGCCGAGGUUGUGAGUUCGAGUCUCACCUGGAGCA